AAAGAAUGAAGAGAAAGAGAGAGAGAGAGAGAGAGAGAGAGAGAGAGGAAGGGUGGGAGAGAAAGAGAAGUUAAGUGAAUCUAAUUAAUACUGAUAGAGCAUACACAUUGAGAUACACAAAAACAUAUAGUAUUAUACGUUUUACGAUACAAUUGUAAUGAACACUUUGUAAGCAAAGGAAAAAAAAAAGUUACGCAUAGUUUUCCAUACCCCGUAAUGAAUGUAAUUCGUUGAGAGGGAAAGUUCAGACAAACAAAUAUACAUAAGUACACACGGUCCACGAACUCACACAUAGACGGACGGUCAAAAGGAAUUACAUGCGUACAAGCGCGCGCAUACAUAUACACACACGUUCGAAGUCACUCGGGUACACAUAAGAAUUAAUAAGACAAAAAAGAAGUCAGUAAUCUGUCUUUAAAGUAUCAUGUGUCUAUAAACUAUAGCGAUUGAUAUUGUCUCUUAAAUAAAUGGC